UUACAUACCUGGACGGGGUCAAUGGGUGAUCAAGAAGGCUCAUGGCCUAGGUCGGUGGCUUUCAUUGCACAAUACUGAAUGCGCACUCGGCUUAACAUCUCCCCUUUGAUGGGAGACUGUACGUCUUAAUUUGUGGUAGCUGGGGCCUGCGCCUGCGCGGCCCCUCU